AGGAGGCAGCAGUGGGGAAUAUUGGGCAAUGGGCGCAAGCCUGACCCAGCAACGCCGCGUGAGGGAAGAAGGUCUUCGGAUUGUAAACCUCUGUCCUUGGGGACGAAAAAAAUGACGGUACCCAAGGAGGAAGCUCCGGCUAACUACGUGCCAGCAGCCGCGGUAAUACGUAGGGAGCGAGCGUUGUCCGGAAUUACUGGGCGUAAAGGGUGCGUAGGCGGCGCUGUAAGUCAGAUGUGAAAUCCCCGGGCUUAACCCGGGUUCUGCAUUUGAAACUGCAGUGCUUGAGUGCAGGAGAGGAAAGCGGAAUUCCUAGUGUAGCGGUGAAAUGCGUAGAUAUUAGGAAGAACACCAGUGGCGAAGGCGGCUUUCUGGACUGUAACUGACGCUGAGGCACGAAAGCGUGGGGAGCAAACAGGAUUAGAUACCCGCGUAGUCCG
rnacentral:rRNA from 1 species